AUUGAACGCUGGCGGCAGGCCUAACACAUGCAAGUCGAACGGUAACAGGAAGAAGCUUGCUUCUUUGCUGACGAGUGGCGGACGGGUGAGUAAUGUCUGGGAAACUGCCUGAUGGAGGGGGAUAACUACUGGAAACGGUAGCUAAUACCGCAUAACGUCGCAAGAACAAAGAGGGGGACCUUCGGGCCUCUUGCCAUCGGAUGUGCCCAGAUGGGAUUAGCUAGUAGGUGGGGUAACGGCUCACCUAGGCGACGAUCCCUAGCUGGUCUGAGAGGAUGACCAGCCACACUGGAACUGAGACACGGUCCAGACUCCUACGGGAGGCAGCAGUGGGGAAUAUUGCACAAUGGGCGCAAGCCUGAUGCAGCCAUGCCGCGUGUAUGAAGAAGGCCUUCGGGUUGUAAAGUACUUUCAGCGGGGAGGAAGGGAGUAAAGUUAAUACCUUUGCUCAUUGACGUUACCCGCAGAAGAAGCACCGGCUAACUCCGUG
rnacentral:rRNA from 1 species